AUGGUGUAAAAAAAAAGAAACAACGAUGGAUGCUACGUGUCUAUUAUGGAUUGGUUGAUAAUUUUGAAUGCUCUCCGUUUGUGAGUUUUUUUUUUUUUCAUCAUCAUCCUUUCACCUUCUCUAUUCCGCUUCAUACUCUUUCAUUCCCCUGGUUCUUGGGGAAGAAUAUUUGACGCUCUCUGGUUAGUAGAGAAAAUUGAGAG
rnacentral:ribozyme from 1 species